rnacentral:rRNA from 1 species
AACGUACUGCUGGCGGCACGCCUAACACAUGCAAGUCGAACGAAGUAGCAAUACUUAGUGGCAGACGGGUGAGUAACAUGUGGGUAUCUGCCCUUUGGCCUGGAAUAACACGAGGAAACUUGUGCUAAUACCGGAUAAGUCUUUACGGAGAAAGCUUUAUGCACCAUUGGAUGAGCCCGCACUUGAUUAGUUUGUUGGUGGGGUAAUGGCCUACCAAGACUGUGAUCAAUAGCUGAUUUGAGAGGAUGAUCAGCCACAUUGGGACUGAGACACGGCCCAAACUCCUACGGGAGGCAGCAGUGGGGAAUCUUGCACAAUGGAGGAAACUCUGAUGCAGCGAUGCCGCGUGAGUGAAGAAGGCCCUUGGGUUGUAAAGCUCUUUCGUCGGGGAAGAAAAUGACUGUACCCGAAUAAGAAGGUCCGGCUAACUUCGUGCCAGCAGCCGCGGUAAUACGAAGGGACCUAGCGUAGUUCGGAAUUACUGGGCUUAAAGAGUUCGUAGGUGGUUGAAAAAGUUAGUGGUGAAAUCCCAGAGCUUAACUCUGGAACUGCCAUUAAAACUUUUCAGCUAGAGUAUGAUAGAGGAAAGCAGAAUUUCUAGUGUAGAGGUGAAAUUCGUAGAUAUUAGAAAGAAUACCAAUUGCGAAGGCAGCUUUCUGGAUCAUUACUGACACUGAGGAACGAAAGCAUGGGUAGCGAAGAGGAUUAGAUACCCUCGUAGUCCAUGCCGUAAACGAUGUGUGUUAGACGUUGGAAAUUUAUUUUCAGUGUCGCAGCGAAAGCGAUAAACACACCGCCUGGGGAGUACGACCGCAAGGUUAAAACUCAAAUGAAUUGACGGGGACCCGCACAAGUAGUGGAGCAUGUGGUUUAAUUCGAAGAUACGCGCAGAACCUUACCAACACUUGACAUGUUCGUCGCGACUCUAAGAGAUUAGAGUUUUCGGUUCGGCCGGACGAAACACAGGUGCUGCAUGGCUGUCGUCAGCUCGUGUCGUGAGAUGUUGGGUUAAGUCCCGCAACGAGCGCAACCCUCACUUUUAGUUGCCAUCAUUAAGUUGGGCACUCUGAAAGAACUGCCAGUGAUAAGCUGGAGGAAGGUGGGGAUGACGUCAAGUCCUCAUGGCCCUUACGUGUUGGGCUACACACGUGCUACAAUGGUAUCUACAACAGGAAGCAAGACUGCGAGGUCAAGCAAAUCCUUAAAAGAUACCUCAGUUCGGAUUGCACUCUGCAACUCGAGUGCAUGAAGCUGGAAUUACUAGUAAUCGUGGAUCAGCGUGCCACGGUGAAUGCGUUCCCGGGUCU